UGUAAGUAUAACAAAACUCAUAUUGCAGGCAAAAACCUGUGAAAAAUAGAUUUUAAAAAAAUGUGAAUUUUGUGACUGUACUAUUUAGUGUCAUUGUUUUAUAGAUACCAUAGUGAGAAAGGAUUCAUUUCGCAACACCUACGGCUUCCACUAGAUGUCAACGAUCUUUAUAAAGUUGUUUGAAGCGUCUAUGAUAAACAGAGAGCAAAUUAGAAUCCAAGGAAGUUGACAUGUCAUCACUUCAUUUUUUUGCGCCUGCGCAUAAAUCUGAGAAGCAAACCACAUUUGUUCCGGACCUGGGAUGCCUUCCGGACCUGGGAUGCCUGCCUUCUGAUGGAGAUAAUCAAAGCAUCAUUGAUUCUGCCUGCGGAGCUUUCCAGUGGGGGUCUGCGAGGAAAACCGGUGGCGCAUUUGAUGAAGUGUGAGGGAAAUUCCCGUCUAACCAAAAGAGGACGGGGACCUGCCCAGAACAGACUCUUACUGUGAACUGCCCAGGAGGAGACACAUCAUCCAUGAACAAUUGAGGAACGGCAACUGAUUUCAGUUAUGGUGAAGGUGACCACAGAUGGUAUCUAAAUGCAUGGAAGAUAAGUUGGCCGAGAGCAGAACAGUGUUAACCUCAACACCCCCCUAAAAAAAUCCUGAAAAUGUUGUUCAGUAUGGUCCUUCACCACUUCUACCGUGAGACCUGAGUCCAAGCCAGCAACCUGUACACAGCAUCCAGAAGCUAUCGACUGCCUUUUCUCUCAUGUUUUUUUUCUCAGGAUUGUGACAUGGGUCCAUGUGGAGUGAGCAUGGCGAGAGAUCCAGUCCAAACCUCUCUCAUGCUGCCGGUGUACUGGUAGGAAAAUGGACAAGAUAUAAUGGACUGUAAAGGACAGUGGCGGCUCAGGUGAGAGACAUUAUCAAGGGCCAUCCACUUUGAACAUGUGCCAUUAAAAUGACAAACUGAAACACUAUCUGAAGAAGAACAUGAAGAAACGCCAGGAAAGGAAUGGUGUCGUGAAGUGUGGGUGGUCUACCGUGCCCGUAAUUGAUUUAGGCUUAUCCAAAAUGGUUUAUUUGGGGUAUCAGGUUGAUUGUGGAGGUCUGCACAGAGCAUCAUGUUUUUUGCUCCUCCAGAGGAUGGAGAAAGAGUUAGAUGCCCACUCUGGAUGAGCCCCCUUUCCCCCUGUAGAUACGGACGAUGAGUAAUGAUUGAAGGUUGUUUCUUUUAACAAGUUGAAGGUAAGGUCAUCUAAACCCUUAACCUUUUUACAUCAUGUGAACACUGAGCUGACCUUUUGGGGGUCUUAGCAGAAUUGUUAAACAACUGGGUUUUAUAUUUUGACUAAGUUGAUGUCCCAGGGACAGUUAGUGACAACAUAGGUCAAUGCAACGUAAUUGUGGUAAGAAAUAUGGAAACAAUGGUUAACAUUGAGAGAUGUAUUCACCUCUGAACCACACAGAUCCCUUGUGUAUGUGUGUAUUCUUUUGAUACUCAUUCCUGUUAAGAGAAGUAUAACCUUUAUUAUGAUUAUAAUAUUACCAUACUAAGUGGAUUGUACAACCCAGAAUGAAGGGUUUGAAAUGAUGAAGUGUCUCGGUUUUUUUCAGUGUUGAUUUUCCUUACUUUAAUAGGAACAACAUUGAACAAUAAAUUACAAAUAAUAAUACUAAAAUCCUUAAACCCAGACAUUAUCUCAAUAAAUGAAAUGUGAAAGCCCCCAGGGGCUCUGGGGGAGUGGGAAUAUGUGUAAAGUCUGAUAUGAUGAAAGCAUAUAAAAUUGAAAUUAUCGAUAAAGCCAUAGAAGGAAUUAUUGGUUUGCGCGUCGAGCAUAUGGAGUCAGAUUAUUGUUUUGUUGUGUUUUCAUGCUAUUUGCCACCUGAACAGUCCACGAGGUAGAGAUGCAUCCUCCUUCUAUAGUCAUUUGUUAAGUCAAGUAUACCUAUGUACAGAAGCAGAUGCUAUUUACAUAUGUGGGGAUCGAAUUGGGAGGAUAGAUGACUAUAUAAAUUAUAUUGAUGAUAUUCCAUCGCGUGUUGCUUUGGAUGACUUUGUUAAUCAUCAUGGGGAAACCCUAUUAGAAUUCCUUCGGGACUCUAAAAUGUGUAUCAUUAAUGGAAGGAUAUGCCCCUUAAACGAUAACUUUACAUCCAUAUCUGGCAAUGGAAAAUCUGUGGUGGACUAUAUAGUUACCCUCCACAACUGUCUAGAAACUUGUUUUGAAUUUAAGGCGUUAUCUCCUACACAGAUGGUUGAAGAAUGCGGAUAUUUUGACUUAAUUGGAGAGAAAAGUAGACUUCCUGAUCAUUCUCUUUUAUUUAUGAUCUUUUCUGUUGGCCACAAACUUUCUCAACCAGGUAUUGCUGUGCAUCACACGUGGCAAAAUAUACCCCGCAUUGGCCUAAAUGUAAGAAAGGAAAUGUGCCAAAUGACUUUCUAUGUUCUGAAAUGGCAUGUAGAGCUCUGGUGGAAGUCAUCAAAACUCUGGAAAGAUGCCAAGAAACACCAUUUGAUUUAGAUGUGCGGUAUGAAACAUUUUGUGAUAUUAUAUACUCUGAAACAGGAAUAAAGAAUCCAUCCCCCAAGUCCAGGAAGGUUUACAAGCCGAACAAACCUUAUUGGAAUGAUGAGUUAAGGGAUCUAUGGUCAGUAAUGCGCAAGGCUGAGUACUUAUUUUUACAGUGUAAAGAUAGGAAUACAAGAGAACAGUGUUGGAAGGAAUAAAAAACAGCAUGUGUUUGAUAAAAGACUGCGCCUAUUUAAACUGAGAUAUCAGAGAGGGCAGUUAUUACACCUUGAGGAGAUACAGACAAGAAAUCCUCAGCAGUUUGGAGCCAAAUAAACAAGUUAGGAUCAAAACGACAUAAGAAAAUUCCAAAGGAAGUCAGGGAAGAGCAGGGGGGGCAGAAAUCUGAUAUUACACAGGUACUUAAUAACCUGUUGGGGCUACAGGUUAGCAAUGAACCCCGAGUCGGGAUUGCUAACAAGGCUGGAAAUUCAAAACAU
rnacentral:lncRNA from 1 species